rnacentral:rRNA from 1 species
UACGUAGGGGGCAAGCGUUGUCCGGAUUUAUUGGGCGUAAAGAGCGUGUAGGCGGUCUGGUAGGUCCGUUGUGAAAACUCGAGGCUCAACCUCGAGACGCCGAUGGAAACCAUCAGACUAGAGUCCGGAAGAGGAGAGUGGAAUUCCUGGUGUAGCGGUGAAAUGCGCAGAUAUCAGGAAGAACACCCGUGGCUAAGGCGGCUCUCUAGUACGGUACUGACGCUGAGACGCGAAAGCGUGGGGAGCGAACCGG